ensembl:lncRNA
UGGGACCCGUGCGCGUAGGACGGAGCCCUGGGAGCCGGCCAGCAGCGACUCACCCGGCACAGCGCCCUGCCAAAGGCUCGUCAGAAGGUGACAAUGACCAGAAAAUGGGUCACUGCUGGCGCCAGACGAGGGGCUUAACGACACAGACCUCCCCGAGGCUCGCCAAAGCAGGGGCAGCCCCUACUGUUUUUUGCCUACAACGGGGCGCGUGCCUUUCAGCAGCUCAAACAAGGGGGGAUUUGCCGAAGCUGAGGCGUGCCUGCCUUGAAACAACCCAAAUUAUAUCGGUGGUCGCCAAAUCUAAGGCACAGUUGCCUUUAAACAAUUCACAGCAAACCGAGUAUGAAAAGAAAGAAACCCGACCCGCUGCUAAGGAAGAUGUGGGAAGGAUGAAGCGGAUGUGUCUGACACCGCAGGAUGGGGGGAGCUCUAGGAAAUACUUCUGCCAACAGUUUACUCUCUUAGAAAUGUGUGUGUUGGCCAACAGCAAGUGAUGAGUGAAGCGUGGCUGUGCCUGAUGGAUCUGUGCUGCUGUGCAAGCCAGGCUUCAGUCCCAGCGCCGUGCUGUGAGCCUGCAGCUGGGGGAGUACACAGCCACCAGCUCCUGCCCCACACAAACGUCCUGCACUGAGGAAAGCAGUUGGGAUGUUGGGAUGCUGGGAUAUUGGGAUGCUGGGAUCCUGGGAUAUUGGGGUUCUGAGAUGGUGGGAUGCUGGGAUGUUGGAAUAUUAGGAUGUUGGGAUGCUGAGAUGUUGGGAUAUUGGGAUGCUGGGAUGUUGACAUAUUGGGAUGUUGGAAUAUUGGGAUGUUGAGAUGCUAGGAUACUGGGGUUCUGAGAUGGUAGGAUGGUGGGAUGUUGAAAUGCUGGGAUAUUGGGAUGCUGGUCUAUUGGGACGUUGGGAUAUUGGGGUGCUUGCGUGUUGGAAUGUUGGGGUGUUAGAAUGUGAGAGUGUAGGGAUAUUGGGGUGCUAGUAUGAUGAGAAGUUGGGAUGCUGGGAUAUAGGAAUGCUGGCUUGUUGGGAUGCUGAGAUUUUGGGAUAUGAAGAUGUUAGGAUGCUGGAAUGUUGGGAUGUUGGGAUGCUGGGAAAUUAGGAUGUUGGGAUAUUGAGAUGCUGGUCUAUUGGGAUGUUGGGAUAUUGGGGUGCUUGUAAGUUGGGAUGCUGGGAUAUAGGAAUGCUGGCUUGUUGGGAUGCUGAGAUUUUGGGAUAUGAAGAUGUUAGGAUGCUGGAAUGUUGGGAUGUUGGGAUGCUGGGAAAUUGGGAUGUUGGGAUAUUGGGGUGCUUGUGUGUUGGAAUUCUGGGGUGUUAGAAUGUGAGAGUGUAGGGAUAUUGGGGUGCUAGUAUGAUGAGAUGUUGGGAUGCUGGGGUAUAGGAAUGUGGCUUGUUGGGAUGCUGAGAUUUUGGGAUAAGAAGAUGUUAGGAUGCUGGAAUGUUGGGAUGUUGGGAAAUUGGGAUGUUGUGAUGUUGAGAUGCUGCCAUGUUGGCAUACUGAGGUGCUGGGUUGCUGAAAUGAUGAGAUGUUGCAUUGCUGGGAUAUUAGGAUGCUGAGAUUUCACAGUAUGAGGGGUUGCUGUCACACCCUGUUCCCGGGUUUAUUUUGCCCAGCAAGAAGACAGUGACAAUGGUGCACUUCACUGACACAGAUCAGGUGCACCAAAACAAUUCAUUAAACAUAUUCUGAGCAAGCUGCUGCACACAUGAUCUAUAAUCACGUAUAUUCUAAGCAAACAGUGUAUUAGCCUAUGACUAAUCUGUAUUCUGGAGCAGAGGGGAGGUAAAUUAGAGCAGGUAAGGGUAUAAUAACAGGUUGGGUAUGGUUAUACAAAUUCUGGGGAAGGUAAAUUAGGGUAGGAAAUGUUACAGAGCCUCUCUCAUCAGUGCAUCUGUCAUGAGAAGGGGCCCAAGGGCGGGGGAACUUGAAAGCUGGAGGGUCUCAGGAUGGCUGAGGGGAGCUUCAAAAGCUGUCCUCCAGUGUCCUGACUUUAAAGCCCUUUUACACGUGGUUUGCCAGAACAAGCAGGGAAGCAGGGGGUGAUGAACUUCUACAAGGUAUGCAGACUAAGAUAUAAGCAGGGGUACGAAAAACACAUGACUCUGCAGAAAGGCAGAGGAACUUCCAUUGGUUCAGUUCCCAAAACCGCGUGGGGUUGUUUCCAUGUUAAUCAUCUCGUGGCGUUAUGGUCUCUGUGCUUUUGCCAAAGGAGACACUUUCUCUUUUCUCUGAUAACUUCUGGUCAUAGCUCAGGCCCCAGACAUGAGUACCAGGCCUCACGUUGUCAGGCAUAAAUAAGGUGAGACGAGUGAUGGAGGCAUAGCUAUGGCCUUAUCUGACUGUGCAGCUACGGGCAAGUCUCAUUAUCAACUAGAGGAUGGCUAAUAAACCUAUACCCAUCCUCAUUCUCCAGUAUUGCAAGACCUCUCCCCUUCUUCAGCAGCUAUGCUUGGGCCACAAUCCACAGUUGCAAUGCUGGAAUGAUGGAAUAUUGGAAUGCUGGGACAUUGAAAGGCUGAGAUGCUGGGAUGCUGAGGUGUUCAGAUGCUGGGAUAUUGGAAUGCUGAGAUUUUGAGAUGCUGAGUUGUUGGGAUGGUGGGAUGCUGAGCUGUUGAGAUGUUGGGAUGCUCAAAUAAUGAGAUGUUGGGAUAUGGAGAUGCUGAGAUGCUCCCUGGUGAAGCAGUCUUCACUGAGUUCUUGGAAUAACAGGGCACGUGGAGGCAGAUGACUGCAGAACAUCUAUUUAAUGAGGUCUCACAGGCUUCCCUACAUCUCUUUGCAAGCUCCUGCAAGUCUGGGAUGGAGGAUUUAUUGCUUGAAGUAAG